GAGUGCAAACACCUUUCUCUGGGUUCUUAUGUGAACACAAGCAGCCCCUCAGCUCUCUGGCCCAACUGCAGCGAAGCAGGCGCAUCCUUGGCUGUCCGCGCCUGGCGUGGGGUCGGGGGGAGAGCUGAAGAGCUGGGCGCCCUUCCUUCUCGCAUUGUCCUGUGUCUUGCGCACCUUGACCCAGAGGCCUAGACAAUAAAGGCAGGUAUGUCCCAGUCCUGGGCUCAACUUCUUCUCAAAACUUUUCAGAUCAGUGUCUAGACUUGGGGGAGAAUCUUGGGAAAGAGAGAAGUCUCUGGAUCUGGAAAGUUCUACCCCCUAGAACUUUGCAUGGCUGUCUCCUCCUUGUUAUUCAGUUCUUAAAUGAAAUGUCAGCUUUUCAGAGAGGGUUUCCCUGAUCACUCCGGCUAAAGUAGCCCCCUGGACCCCUCACUGCCUAAUUAGUCCUAACGACAAUAUGCUUUGUAAUUUCAUCAUAUUACCAUCGUCUGAAAUUUUUGAUUUAUUUCUUGCUUUUUUUUUUUUUUUUUGAGGAAGAUUAGCCCUGAGCUAACAUCUGCCGCCAAUCCUUCUCUUUUUGGCUGAGGAAGACUGGCCCUGAGGUAACAUCCGUGCCCAUCUUCCUCUACUUUAUAUGUGGGACGGCUGCUACAGCAUGGCUUGCCAAGCUGUGCCAUGUCCACACCCGGGAUCCAAACCGGUGAACCCCGGACCACAGAACGUGCCCACUUAACCGCUGCACGACCAGGCAGGCCCCAAAUACUUCUUGCUUAUUAUCUUUCUCCUCGAUAAGAUUGCUGGCUGGCAUCUGCCCAUGACAUCAGAGAUCUUGUCUGUCUUGCUCACUCUGCAGAGCCUGGCAUCUAAUGGGCACAGAAUGCAUUUGAGCUGAACAGUCUGUGUGGCAGACCUGCAGAUGCCCAGCCCUGCACCUGCUGGCCACCUCUGAGCUCACCUGCAGCAGCCAGGGACAGUUCUCCAAUUGUCAACAGCUCCCCACCUGGAGUUCCUGGCAUUUUCCCUUUUUAUCAGUUUUAGCUCCCUCAUGUUUUUGCAGAAAAUUCCUUUAUUUUCUGUGAGCCCAGCAAGGCCAUACAAGUUAUGGCGUAUACAGGAUCCGGUUGUCUAGGGGGAGCCUCUUCAGAGUGUCUAGUCUGAUAUCCUCAUGCGAUUAUUUUUCAUCUUUCAACGAAGCGGUUCCCAAACAUGGAGCAUCAGGCUUGGGGUUCUGAGGCCCCAGCUGCCUCAUCUGCUGCUCUCCUCGCCUUCACUCUACCCUGACUCCCACCUCGUCCUCCUUCCCAUCUCAGCUUAAUGACCUCGACUCCGCCAUCUAGGUCUAAACGCUUGCCUAGUUCCUAAUCCUGUCCUUCCCAGCACUUAAUGUGGCAGGCGUGAUAUAUUCAUCUGCGAUUUCAUUUGCCUGAUGUCUGACUCUCUCCAAAAACAGGGCAGAGGAGGAGGAAGAGGUGGAGGAGGAGUAGGAGGAAGACUGGAGAGGUCCAGGUAUGGAGGUUUGGAAAGGAAAGGAUACACGGGUGCUGAGAGAGAAGAGGGAGAUGAACUCUGAGGUGCCAAAAGGGAAGCGGCAGAGGAGAUGGAAGAGAUAAGGGUGGGGGGGGGGGGAGGAUGGCUUCUGACUUCUUACUCUCUUUAAUUCAGACACAGUCUCUGCCAAUUUAGUUAGUCUCCUGUAAAGAAGUCAUUUUAUCAUUAUUACUCUUUGAAGCCUCUAAAUGCCAAUCAUAAGCUUCCCAUUCUUUUGUUUUAGUCGUAUAGCCAACUCUUCCAAAUUGCGAGUGCAAAUACAGUAGUUGCGAGAGGUCAAAUGUUCCCCACUUUGGCCAAUUAAGACAAGUUAUCCUUAAUCUUUCCCAUUUUGUUAAAAUUCUUGCAAACAUUGUUUCUGUGUGUAUUAUACAUGAAACCAGCUGGAGUCCCAGUCGGGGAUUGUCCAUUUGGGAGCUGGCUGGCUUUAGAA
rnacentral:lncRNA from 1 species